rnacentral:tRNA from 1 species
UCCCUAGUGGUCCAGUGGUUAAGACGUUGUGCUUCCAGUGCUGGGGCCACAGGUUCGAUUCCUGGUCAGGGAA